AUUGAACGCUGGCGGAAUGCUUUACACAUGCAAGUCGAACGGCAGCACGGACUUCGGUCUGGUGGCGAGUGGCGAACGGGUGAGUAAUGUAUCGGAACGUGCCCAGUCGUGGGGGAUAACGUAGUGAAAAUUACGCUAAUACCGCAUACGAUCUAUGGAUGAAAGCGGGGGAUCGCAAGACCUCGCGCGAUUGGAGCGGCCGAUAUCAGGUUAGGUAGUUGGUGGGGUAAAGGCCCACCCAGCCAACGAUCUGUAGCUGGUCUGAGAGGACGACCAGCCACACUGGACCUGAGACACGGUCCAGACUUCUACGGGAGGCAGCAGUGGGGAAUUUUGGACAAUGGGCGAAAGCCUGAUCCAGCCAUUCCGCGUGCAGGAUGAAGGCCCUCGGGUUGUAAACUGCUUUUGUACAGAACGAAAAGGUUUCUACUAAUACUAGGAGCUCAUGACGGUACUGUAAGAAUAAGCACCGGCUAACUACGUGCCAGCCGCCGCAGUAA
rnacentral:rRNA from 1 species